rnacentral:SRP_RNA from 1 species
GCCAGGCGUGGUGGCUCACGCCUAUAAUCCCAGCACUUUGGGAGGCUGAGGUGGGUGGAUCACUUGAGGCCAGGAGUUCAAGACCAGCCUGGCCAACAUGGUGAAACCCCAUCUCUA